GCUGAAGAACGUAGCGAAAUGCGAUAAGUAGUGUGAAUUGCAGAAUUCAGUGAAUCAUCGAAUCUUUGAACGCACAUUGCGCCCCUUGGUAUUCCAUGGGGCAUGCCUGUUCGAGCGUCAUUUGUACCUUCAAGCUCUGCUUGGUGUUGGGUGUUUGUCCUUGCUCUAGUGGCGGGACUCGCCUUAAAGUAAUUGGCAGCCAGUGUUUUGGUUUUGAAGCGCAGCACAAGUCGCGAUUCAAGUCUAUACGCUAGUUUCCACAAGUCUUUUAUCACUUUUGACCUCGGAUCAGGUAGGGAUACCCGCUGAACUUAAGCAUAUAAUAAGCGGAGGA
rnacentral:misc_RNA from 1 species